rnacentral:ncRNA from 1 species
UCGCACGCGGGAGGCGAUGACGCGCGGCCCAAGCCCCGGCCGCCGGGACCGUGCCGAGCCACCGGCGGGACCGACUCGCGUGGAG